rnacentral:rRNA from 1 species
UACGUAGGGGGCAAGCGUUGUCCGGAAUCAUUGGGCGUAAAGCGCGUGUAGGCGGCCCGGUAAGUCCGCUGUGAAAGUCCAGGGCUCAACCCUGGGAUGCCGGUGGAUACUGUCGGGCUCGAGUCCGGAAGAGGCGAGUGGAAUUCCUGGUGUAGCGGUGAAAUGCGCAGAUAUCAGGAGGAACACCAAUGGCGAAGGCAGCUCGCUGGGACGUUACUGACGCUGAGACGCGAAAGCGUGGGGAGCAAACAGG